GCGCAUGAUACCGGUUCACUUGGUUCCGUCUGUUAGCAGCGAAGCAAGCCGAGAUGUGAGUGAAUAAUUCCGGUAAACCAUGAAAGUGGAUGCAGAGUGUACAAGCUCGGGUUGGAUUGUUGACACCUGUGAUUGGACCAGAGACGUCCUCUUUGGAUCCUACUGCGGACUUUAAGUAGUUUGUUUAUCGUUGGAACUGCCCUGCUGCUCCGGUGAAGGCCUGUGAGCUACACUGACCACCGCCAUUAUCAAGGUCCGGGUCUGGUUGCGGCUGCUGCUUCGCUCCAGGGUAAUAUUUGGAGUUUCUGAGAGGACGUCUUGAUGUCCCGCCCUCAACAGCUGCACUUCCUUCCACUGCCUCUGCAGUCUACCAGAAGCCACGCCUUUAUGUUUCUGCACGCACAUUGCGGAACAUAACAAGGUCGCAUUGAUAUAUGGGAAAGCUGAGAUGCCAGGAUGUGCUACUGCCCACUGUGCCCAGUACCAGCAGCUCCAGGCCCCACAGCGACAAAGUACAGGGAUGUUGGAAUACAGCGUAAGGCAGUACAACAGUCCCCCUGG
rnacentral:lncRNA from 1 species